AGCCUCGCUGCCGCCUUGCAGUGUGAUCUCAGACUGCUGUGCUAGCAAUCAGCGAGACACCGUGGGCGUAGGACCCUCUGAGCCAGGUGUGGGAUAUAAUCUUGUGGUGCGCCGUUUUUAAAGCCGGUCUGAAAAGCGCAAUAUUCGGGUGGGAGUGACCCGAUUUUCCAGGUGUAGCAAACCACCAUGGCACAUGUUUACCUAUGUAACAAACCUGCACAUUCUGAACAUGGACCUCGGAACUUAAAAAAAGAAGAUAAAAGGCUUGAGCGAGCCUGUUUGCCCCUUCCACCAUGCGAGGACACAUACAAGGCACCAUCUAUGAGGAACGAGCUCCCAACGAGCUCCCAACAGAUGCUGAUUUUGCUGGUGUCUCGAUCUUGGACAACCUCCAGAAUUGU
rnacentral:lncRNA from 10 species